UUGGAGCCAGCGCCGCGAGUUGAGCCCAGGGGCCCCCGGGGCGGGGCCGAGGCAGGGGCCGCGGGAAGGUGGGGUCCUGGGGGUGUGGGACCCCAGCACUGAUGUCCCUGCGACCUGCGGCGCUCCUCGUGUAGCAUUACCAAGCACGCACAGUUAUCCCCAUUUCACGGAGGAGGAGACUGAGGCCCCGCGCUUUGCCCAAGCGAACGCAGCCAGGACGGGAACGAGAAGGGUUCGGGGACGGGGGCUUCAAAGCGGGUCAGAUGGCUCCAGAGGCGGUUUCUUUCUUCUCGCUCCGACUACGCUUCUUUGGGGUACUGGUUGUCCGCAGCGCCCAGAGGCUCUGACACUGACCUGGCAUAAAUAGCACCGAGCGCUAAUAAUUGGGCUUUGUUUUAAAAUGGGCCACCGCAUCUUUCGGAACCUCUCGAUUACGCGCGGUGUGACCCAGGCCCAGCCCGUGGGCGAGGAGCGGACUGCGCGACCCGGGCUCGGGGGUACAGAGGACAAGGGCGUGGGAGCGCGUGGGGGCUCGUGGCUGCGCGCAGGGUACGGGAACCAGGGGGCCCCAGCGACCCAAACCCCGCGGACUGGGCGAGCGCCGGCGGCAGGGAGGAGGGCUGGGCCGGCGAGCGCUCGGCACAAAGUGUUCCCGAACACCGCGGGGAGGCCCUGCCAAGUUCUCGGCGGGCCUGAAGCGGAAACGUAGAUAAUGAGGCCCAAGGGCGGGACCAGGCGUACUGCCCCAGCCGGCUCCCCACUGCCAGGGCCGCACAGUGCAGCGGCGGGGAGGCUUGGGGACAGAAAACCCAGACGCGCCGAUCUACCUGUGGGACCCUCGUAGAGAUGCGCCGCAAGGAUCCAGAAGGGCUGGAGGACUUGGAGUCCCACAGUGCUCCGCCAGGGGCUCCGUCGGAGGAACUGCUUUAUUCACAAUAGCCCAAAGGUAGAAGCAACCCAAGUACCCAUCGUCAGAUGAGUGGAUGAACAAAAUGUGGACGUAAAAAGGAAUGAUUUCUGAUACAUGCUACAUGCUACAACAUGGAUGAACCUCGAAAACAUUAUGGUAGGUGAAAUAAUCCAGACACAAUAUGAUAAACAUUGUAUGGUUCCACUUACAUGAAAUAUCUAGAAAAGGCAAAUUCAUGGAGACAGAAAGUAAAUUCGAGGUUACUAAGAGCAGGGAGAAGGGAGAAUGGAGAAUUAUUACUUAAUGGGUCCAGAGCUGUUGUUUGGGGUGAUGAAAAAGUUCUGGAAAUAGAUAGUGGGGAUGGUUGCACAACAUGGUGAAUGUAAUUAACACCACUGAAUUGUACCCUUGAAAUAGCAAAUUCUAUAGGGUUUUAUAACUUCAGAAAAUUAAUAAUGCAGUAUUCCAAAAAAUGUCAAACUCUAUGCUUUAAAUUGGUGGGUUGCGUGGUAUGUGUAUUAUAUUUCCAUAAAGCUUUUUUUUUUUUUUUAAUCAAACAAUAACAACAUCAGAGUGGAUUCAAGGGGAUGGCUGGGGGGAUGUGUAGUCAGGAGGCUAUGGCUAUGCUUUGGGGCUGGGGCUUUGCAGGCCCAGAGAGAAGGGGCAAGUAGCCAAAUUGGAAAGGCCUUGGGAGGGGGUGGACAGUGCUGGGUGACCAGGCUACUGGGGGACACAGGAGAGAGGAACCUGAAGGACAAUUCCCGGCUGCCCUCAGCUUUGCCCCUCAGCUACUUGCUGCAAAGCCAGAUUUUAGUCCUAAUCUGAUCUCUUUAAGGAUUUUUGGAAUCUCAUGAGAAAGUUAAAGAAUUCCAUUUAUCUUCUUCUCUGAACCCCACACUUCCAAGUCCCUUUGUGCCCCAACCAAAUGGAAACCAGUUACUGCCUAUCCCCGAUUUCCCUCUCUCUAAAUAUUAUACAGUCGAAUACCUCAACUCUGGGGCACCAUAAAAACUCUUAGGACAGGAAAAUGGGGGGCGGACACACACUUCAAAGAGAGGGAAACUUGUAAAAUCCAUCUGGGGCAUGAAGAGAAAUGACCUUUCCCACCAAGACAGUCCCCACCUCCCCCGUACUCUUCCUCCUAUGAUGGAAUUUUAAAAAUCACAAGCAGUCGGAGCCACUUGGUUAUCCGGCACGACUCCAGGAGCCGGAAUCAAAGCGAAUGCAGUGUGAUGAGUGAGGAUGAGCCCAGCAAGAGCGCUUCUGAAACGUCCCUACUCAUAGCAGCCCCGCAGUUAGCACCUAACCAGGAUCGGCUACAUAAUUCGCUGGCCUCGUGCAGCAUGAAAGCUCGGGGUUUCUUGUCCAAAAAUAAUUAAGAAUUUCAAGACAGCGACAGCAGAGCAUGUAAACCGAGCACGGGCUCUUCCAGCACGUGGUCCUGAGCGGCUGCACAGGUCACGUGCCCGCGAAGCUGGCCGAGAUGUUACCACUGUCUCUAGAUCUCAGACGUGGAAACUGACCACACAAAGUCAAACAGACCAUCUGUGGCAGAAUCUGAAGCUUUCUUAACCGGCAAAGACGCAGAAAUCCGGGAUGGACACCGGUAUGGAGUAAAAGCGUUCCUUUCUAUUGCGUGGUCUUGCCCCUCCUUGCACACAAGUGUGAGAAGCGCCCCUGUACCUGCCACCUUCAUUCUGUGUGAGAGGCAGCCUUUGUGGGACAUUGUUAAUUCCAUGCCUUCCCCCCCCCACCCCCACCGCCCUUCCUCUUUGGAAGCAAUCCUGUCCCUUCUUUCCAGCUCUGAGGGACAUGCCUCUUUUCCUCCUUUUUUUGAGACCCUGGCUCCUUCCCUCCCCACGGAGCCAAGCCUGUAUUGGAGGCUGUCUGUGGGCUGUGUGCUCAGACUCCCCGUGCUGCGGCCGGCUUCUCUCCUGGGCCAUCGAGGUAAAGCUCUGGCCUUUCAACAAAGACAGGCUACUGCCAUUCUCAGAAGACAUAAGCCACCAUUUGUCAGCCUCAAAGAGACCAACCUUUCAGCCCAGGAGAGCGAGGCCGAAUGUUGUCCAGAGCUAAAAAGGCUUAUUUUUAUUUAUUUAUUUAUCUAUCUAUCUAUCUAUCUAUCUAUCUAUCUAUCUAUCUAUCUAUUUAUUUAUUUAUAAAGAUUUUAUUUAUUUAUUUGAGACAGAGAGAAUGAGAGAGAGAGAGCACAUGAGAGGGGGGAGGGUCAGAGGCAGAAGCAGGCUCCCUGCCGAGCAGGGAGCCCGAUGCGGGACUCGAUCCUGGGACUCCAGGAUCAUGACCUGAGCCGAAGGCAGUCGCUUAACCAACUGAGCAACCCAGGCACCCAAAAAAGGCUUAUUUUUAGAAAGCAACAAAUGGUGGUUUGUUUAUAGAGCUGACAGCAAAUAGCUACAUCAAUAGCAAAGAGCCUGCUCACUGAGGACUGAAGGCUGGGGGAGGAGGGGGCACUAGGAAGGAUGUGAGGGGGCCUACAGAAGGAGGCCUUUAAGAAUAUGCCAACUGAUGACUAUACGGCAGUCCGUCCAAGGUCAAAGGCAUCAAGUGCAAUAGGGUCUACUCUGCCACAUGCAGAGGCAUUUGACCUCCCUGCCCUCGUUUUCCACAUCUGCAAGACGAAAAGCUUGGGCUGUGCAGUCCAUUUGGGCUCCAAGAGCCCAUAACCUAUUUAAAUUAGAUGUAGGAUUUCAGGAAAUUGGGCUAAAUCUAUAUGAUUCCUUGACAUUCCUUGACAUUUUCUCAAAUACAUCUUUUCAUUCAUUUCUGGAUAUGCUACCCGUUUGUUUCUAUGUCAGUCAUAUUUUUCUCUUUCUAAAAGAAGAAUGCGAUGCAAGCAGACUUCUGGGGGUCCUUGGAGCAAUGCGAAUGAGUGAAUUCUGAUCCAUGGGGGAUUUCAGUGUAAAACUUCCCAAGUAUCCAAAGCAGUGAGCUCAGUUUCUGAAAGAGAGCAGACCCUUCCCCCUCAAGACUAGAAGGUGCUAGGUCCCCAUGGAAGCUCUGAGGUUGCUCUCUGCUGCCUUCAGCAGCACUGCAGGAAGCCAGGUCUGCCUGAGAGAGACCCUAGUCUUCUCCAGAAACCCCUAACCCCCUCUCCACCCUCUUGUCUUCUCCUCCCUUCCCUGUUGGGGGCCGGGCACCCAUCCUACCCAGCUGUCUGCCAUCAGAAAGGAAAGUGUGCUGAGGGAAGGAAGCUCUGUAGUAUGUUGGAAAGAAGUCCGUGUAGCUCUGAAAACCAAGCUUGCCCUACAGGUGUAGGGCAGAGUGUAGGGCAAUGGUUAGUUGUAUGUGUUCUGUGGUCAGAGCUCAGGCACAGAGGUUCGAAGCCCAGCUCUGCCGCUCUGGAUACUUAUGUGGGGAUAGUGGUACCGUUUAGAGCUAAUAUAGCUGAAAGGCUAGUCAGAGUGGAAGCCUCAUCGAUGGUAGCCAUGAUAAUAAAUAUAACCAUUUCAUGGGAGACUUAGUGUAUUAUUAUUUAUUGAGCAUAAGACAGUGUUUGACUUCCAUUUGAACCAUUGGAAAUGUCUCUGUGACCAAAUAUACUUUCCCUUCUUAGGUAAGAAGGAAAGUAGUUUCCAACUUAUCCAUCUCAAUGACAGUGACCCUGGUCCCCUGGUGGGACACUGAAAAGGGUUUUAUUACCAGAUUUUGUUUUCCUUUUCCUGUGAACUGGCUAGGACAUUGUCCCCAGUCCUGGUUUUUUAAUAUCCUCUUUUUCUCCCCACCUCUGGUCCACUCUGUCAGGCUCCUCAGGCCUGGCUCACCUCCUCCCCUCUUCCUCUGCCCAGAAGUGUCCCUGUCCCCCCCCAAUGCUCUCUGAGUGCUUGGGACCCGGCUUUCCUCCAAAAUGGCAGCCAAAUCUGACGCCACCUCCAGAACUUUUUCUUCUUGCAAAAUUGAAACUCUGUCCCCAUUAAACACUAGCUGUCCAGUCACCCCUCCUUCCAGGACCUGACAAACACUAUUCUACUUUCUGUCUUUAUGAGUUUGACUACCUUAGGUGCUCAUAUAAGUGGAAUCAUACAGUAUUUGUCCUUUUGUGGCUGGCUUAUUUCACGUAGCAUAACGUCCUCAAGAUUCAUCCAUGUUGUAGCACCUGUCAGAGUCUCCUUGUUUUUCAAGGACUGAGUAACAUUCCAUUGUAUGGAUGCACUACAUCACCCCCUCUGUGACUUUGUCUCUCCCCUAAAGAAGAGAAGGGGAUGGUCAUGCAUACGCCCAGUUGGUUUCCCGUUGGUCAGCAGUGGUAAAAACCCUCAGCAAAAGCCUCAGGAAGGUGGGGGCUCUGCUGGGAGGCCCAGGACUGUUGCAGAGGCACAGGGAAGGGAGACACCUGCAGCUCCAGAAGGUCCAGCUCCUGUGCACCAGACAAGGAAAUGCCACUAGGAUCUGUCAAUGGCGCCCUCUGUAGGUGAGAAUCUCAAUCUAUGUCUUAGUACUGGUGACAGGAGCCCAUGAAUUUUCAAAAAUAAUUUUUUAUUGUGGUCAAAUAUGCAAAACAUAAAACUUACCAUGUUAACCAUUUUUAAGUGUAGAGUUUAGUGGUCUUGAGCACAUUCAUCUGGUUAUGCAACCAUCCCUUCCAUCCACCUCCAGAACUUUGUCAUCCUCAAAAACUGAAAUACUAAACACUUUAAACACUAACACCCCGUUUCUCCUCCCUCAGUCCCUGGCACCCACCAUCCCACUCUCCGUGUCUAUGACUUUGUCAGCUCUCGGUACCUCACAUGAGUGGAAUCAUACUGUGUUUGUCCUUUCGUAACUGGCUUAUUUCACUUAGGAUAGUGUCCUCAACAUUGAGGACGCUCAAUGUUGAGUGGAAUCGUACAGUGUUUGUCCUUUCGUAACCUGCUUAUUUCACUUAGGAUAGUGUCCUCAACAUUCAGCUCUGUUGUAGCAGGUGUCAGAAUGUCCCUCCUUUCUGAUGUUGAAUAAUAUUCCAUUGUAUGGAUAUAUCACAUUUUGUUUAGCCAGUCAUCUGUUGAUGGACACUUGGGGAGCUUCCAUCUCUUGGCUAUUGUGAAUAAUGCCGCUAUGAAUAUGGGUGUACACGAAAAUUUUUUUAAAUUUAAAUGUCAUUCCCGAGAGAACGUGUACCAAAGGGAAAACAAAUUAAAGUCCAUUGACAGGAAUUCAGAAUCAACAAAAGUGAGUUCCGAUUAAGGACAUAGAACUUGGUUCAUGGUGCCCUUAGUGUCUUCUUGAUUUUUCACAGAAUCUCUAUGUUAAAACAAAAACCUGAACUGCUCUGUUUAUUUAAUAGCUAGAGCCAAACUUAACGAAAGUAUUUCUGUUCCAACAAUUAAGUACUGUUUGGGAAAAAAAAUACAUGUUUAUUGAAAGAAAAAUAUUUUUCUUUUAUUCUUAUAUAACUGAUGUAGGAAAGACAUUAGGGUUUGAAGCCGAUGGCCAAGAAAGAAUUCUUGAAACAUCUUUGAUGCAAAAAGGUGUUUUUAUUAAAGCACGGGGACGGGACCCGUGGGCAGAAAUAGCUGCGCUGGGGUCAUGAGGAGUGGCCCAUUAUAUACUUCCAAGUUGGGAGGGGGUUAGGGAGAGCGUUAAGUCUCUAAGGAAUUUUGGAAGCAAGGUUUCCAGGACCUUAAGGGGGCUAGCUAUUGUUGGGAAAAGGUCAUUUAUUACCAUCUAAUAAAACCUGACUCAUGAGACCCUUCAGAUGUAUAUCAGUGGGCCAUAUGUUUGGGGAGAUGAUUGUCAACAUGUAUCUUGGGGGGUUUAGAGAUUUAUAUGUUAUUUAUAUAACAUAUAAACAUUGUAUUUAUAUGUUAAACAAAAUACAUAUAAACAUAUAAAUGUUUAACAUUUUUAUAUGUUAAAGUAGACUUACAGGAUCCUGGAUGGGGGGCGGGGCUAGGAUUAGCUUUCGCCCUUAGCAAAGUAUUAACAUCCAGGCAGUUGAGUCCCUAGGGGAACGUCACUCUGCCUGUUUCAAGAACUUGUCAGGGGGCUGUACGUAGUAAGGAAAUAUAAUAAUCUUUCUUCUGCCUUUGUUUCCCACAUCAUUACCACAGUUAUUUACUAUUGAGGUAUGUGCACCUGUUGGGCACAUCACUGAUUCUCCAACCUUGAAAUCAGAUCACAGACUUCCAUCUUUAUUUCCUGUUCCAUGUUCAUUUUUCUUGGUACUGGCUUUAAAUAAAAGUAACCACUGAAAUCCCAGCUUUGCAAAGCUAUGACAUCAUCAGAAGACAAGCAGCACAAUCUAAUGUUGAAACUAUGAACUACCUUGAGUUAGUAGUUUGCAAGAGAUCUCAGAAAUUGCUGUGUUUCUUUUAACUUAUAAAAAUAUUCCAACCUGUGAGUUUCUUGUGGCGUUCUCAGUCCUUUGGCCCCCAGUUUGGGACCUGCAAAUCCAGACAAUUCAAAUACAGCGAAGACCUCACCUUGCUAAUUCAAGGGCUCCAUGAAUUGUUCCCACCUGACUCUCCAAGUGACCUCAGUUGCACACAAGCUAGCCCCUAUUCUGUUUCUUGAGCUCUCUGAUCACGCUCCCACCUCAGGGCCUUUGCAUUUCCUGUAGCUUCUACCUGGAAUGUUUUUUCCUCACGGGUUGCCGUGGCUCUUCUCCCUAAUCUUUCAGGGUCUGUCCUUCUCUGUCCACGCCAAUCACCAUGACCCACUAUAUGCAUCUUCAGAGCACUCAUGGCAACCUGCCAGCCGUUCUAUCGUUCUUCCUGCACUUUAGGUGAUUUGCCCAACACAAACCCCUCUGAAAAUACAAUUAGGUCGAAAUUAGUGGUCCAGGAUUAUUUCAAUAGUAACAAAGCAAAAUGGCAAUGUGGAUGUAAUUCAAAUGUUAACGAACACAAAAGGAAGUAAACUGAAAACUAAAGACCAAUGACAGUAAAUGAAAUAAUGCAAAUGCACAACAUUGUCACGACUUAAACCAGCAAGCCAGCAAUGCUCUGAGAGGGGAUGUCAGCUGAGGAGAAGAUGACAGUGUUGUGGUACUGAGCUGCUCCCAGAGACCUCAAAAUCCAGAUGGCUGCUGGGCAUGUGAAGAAAUGCCUCUCCCUCCUGAGGGAGGAAACACAAAGUCACAUCGCUAAGAGGCAUGCACACUGGGCCACUUUUUUUUGGUCUUAAACUUGGUUUUAAUGGGUUUCAAAAUUGUGUGACAGAUUUUGGGUCCAGUUGUUUCCAUUAAAGAGUACUGAUUCUAGGGGCACCUGGGUGACUCGGUUAAGUGUCUGCCUUUGGCUCAGAUCAUGAUCCCAGCAUCCGGCUCCCUGCUCAGCAGGGAGCCUGCUUCUCUCCCUCUGCCUGCCACUCUCCCUACUUGUGCUCUCUCUUUCUCUCCCUCUCUCUCUCUCUCUCUGUCAAAUAAAUAGAUGAAAUUGUUUUUAAAAAGUACUAAUUGUAAAAACUACUUAAAACUCCCUCUCCUCCCUCCCUCUCUCUCUCUCCCUCUCUCUUUCUCUCUCUCUCUCUCUCUCUCUCUCUCUCACACACACACACACACACACACACACACACACACACACACACACACACGGUCCACAAAA